CCCGUUCCCAUGCCGAACACGGAAGUUAAGCUCUUCAGCGCCGAUGGUAGUUGGGGGCUUCCCCCUGUGAGAGUAGGACGCCGCCAAGC
rnacentral:rRNA from 3 species